rnacentral:rRNA from 1 species
ACCUGGUUGAUCCUGCCAGUAGGCAUAUGCUCGUCUCUAAGAUUAAGCCAUGCAUGUCUAAGUUCAUACACAUUCAACGUGAGACUGCGAAAGGCUCAGUAUAACAGUUAUAGUUUAUUCGAUUGUGAAAGCCACAUGGAUAACCGUGGAAAAUCUAGAGCUAAUACAUGCGAAAACGCUGCGGGGURCUUCGGUGCUCCGUAGGUGCAUUUAUUAGAUUAGGACCAGUCGAUGCUUUGGUGCUUUCGGGUACCGGGUGUCGCGGUGCGGAGUCUGGAUAACUGAGCCGAUUGUAUGGCCUUGAGCCGGCAACGUUUCGAUUAAAUUUCUGCCCUAUCAACUUGUUGGUAAGGUAGUGGCUUACCAAGGUGAUAACGGGUAACGGGGAAUCAGGGUUCGAUUCCGGAGAGGGAGCCUGAGAAACGGCUACCACAUCCAAGGAAGGCAGCAGGCGCGCAAAUUGCCCAAUCCCGACUCGGGGAGGCGGUGACGAGAAAUACCAGGUCGUUCCCAAAAGGAUUCGACACUGGAAUGAGGGAAAUUUAAAAAUUUCUGCGAGUAACAACUGGAGGGCAAGUCUGGUGCCAGCAGCCGCGGUAAUUCCAGCUCCAGUAGUGUAUCUUAAAGUUGCUGCGGUUAAAACGCUCGUAGUUGGACAAGAGAGUAGCUUGGUGCGGGCGGGGAGCGUGUUUGCCGCGCGAGCUCGUGCCUUUUGUGCUGCCGGUGGUCGUCUCGUACGGACGCCGGUUGGUGCGAAGGUGCGGAUCGCUGUGGUAUCGCUCGUCGACCAUGCUGCCAGGCUACUUGUGAUAGUUCGUGAGAAUGGCGUAUGGCCUUGAUUGUGCUGUGCGUCGUGUCUUACGUAGCGUGCCUUGAAUAAAUCAGAGUGCUCAAAGCAAGCGCGACGCUUGAAUGUUAAUAGCAUGGAACGAAUGUCUUGUGAAAGUGGGUGUCGUGGGGCCUUCGGGUUUUGCGGCGCUCACAGCACCAACCGCGAAGCGGAACAUUGGUUGCCGCGUUCGGGUGAUGAUUAAGAGGGGCAUUUGGGGGCUUUGGUAUUUGUGCGCGAGAGGUGAAAUUCUUGGACCGCACAAGGACCAACAAGUGCGAAAGCAUUAGCCAAGUAUGUUCCCUUUAAUCAAGAACGAAAGUGAGAGGUUCGAAGACGAUCAGAUACCGUCCUAGUUCUCACCGUAAACGAUGCCGACCCGGGAUCAGUCCGGAUGAAUCUAUCUGGAUCCAGGUUGGUCCCCCUGGGAAACCUUGAGUCUUUAGGUUCCGGGGGGAGUAUGGUUGCAAGGCUGAAACUUAAAGGAAUUGACGGAAGGGCACCACCAGGAGUGGAGCCUGCGGCUUAAUUUGACUCAACACGGGAAAACUCACCUGGUCCGGACAUCGAUAGGAUUGACAGACUAAUAGAUCUUUCAUGAUACGGUGGGUGGUGGUGCAUGGCCGUUCUUAGCUCGUGAAGUGAUUUGUUUGGUUUACUCCCAUAACGGGCGAGACCACUGUCUUCAUUUCGGGAGUCGCACGGCARRCAGUUGCUCGUUCUCUUGGGUYUUUUCGGUUGUGGCGCGUUUCGGCGGGUCGCGACUGGAAGGGCUUUUGAGUUCGCAUGAUUGCUUGGCCUUGCGGAGCACGCGCAGCAAUGCGCGCCCGAUGAAGAGACUGCCGGAGCACAAGCCGGAGGAAGUGUGGCAAUAACAGGUCUGUGAUGCCCUUCGAUGUUCAGGGCUGCACGCGCGCUACAAUGAUAACGACAGCGAGUUUCUGGGCUGAAAAGCUCUGGGUAAUCUUGACAAUCGUUAUCGUGAUGGGGAUUGAGCAUUGUAAUUAUUGCUCAUGAAAGAGGAAUUCCUUGUAGGUGCGACUCACUCAGGUCGCAUCGAAUAAGUCUCUGCCCUUUGUACACACCGCCCGUCGCUACUACCGAGCGAAUUUUGUCAUGAUGACUUGGGACUGGACGUUGUUGGCAGUGCAAACUGCGGACGAUGCUAGGAGCAAGUCAAAACGGCGCAAUNACGA